rnacentral:rRNA from 1 species
AGUGAACGCUGGCGGUAGGCCUAACACAUGCAAGUCGAACGGCAGCACAGUAAGAGCUUGCUCUUACGGGUGGCGAGUGGCGGACGGGUGAGGAAUACAUCGGAAUCUACUUUUUCGUGGGGGAUAACGUAGGGAAACUUACGCUAAUACCGCAUACGACCUACGGGUGAAAGCAGGGGAUCUUCGGACCUUGCGCGAUUGAAUGAGCCGAUGUCGGAUUAGCUAGUUGGCGGGGUAAAGGCCCACCAAGGCGACGAUCCGUAGCUGGUCUGAGAGGAUGAUCCCCCACACUGGAACUGAGACACGGUCCAGACCCCUACGGGGGGCAACAGGGGGGAAUUUUGGACAAGGGGCGCAAGCCUGACCCAGCCAUACCGCGUGGGUGAAGAAGGCCUUCGGGUUGUAAAGCCCUUUUGUGGGGAAAAAAAAGAAGCAGGUUAAUACCCCGCUGUUCUGACGGUACCCAAAAAAUAAGCACCGGCUAACUUCGU